CGGCGGACGGGUGAGUAACACGUGGAUAACUUACCUAUAAGACUGGGAUAACUUCGGGAAACCGGAGCUAAUACCGGAUAAUAUAUUGAACCGCAUGGUUCAAUAGUGAAAGACGGUUUUGCUGUCACUUAUAGAUGGAUCCGCGCCGCAUUAGCUAGUUGGUAAGGUAACGGCUUACCAAGGCAACGAUGCGUAGCCGACCCGAGAGGGUGAUCGGCCACACUGGAACUGAGACACGGUCCAGACUCCUACGGGAGGCAGCAGCG
rnacentral:rRNA from 1 species